rnacentral:rRNA from 1 species
CCGAGAAUAUUCGACAAUGGGCGAAAGCCUGAUCGAGCGACGCCGCGUGCUGGAUGAAGUGCUUCGGUACGUAAACAGCUUUUAUCGGGGACGAACUAAUUGACGGUACCCGAUGAAUAAGGGGCUCCUAACUCUGUGCCAGCAGGAGCGGUAAUACAGAGGCCCCGAGCAUUAUCCGGAAUCACUGGGCGUAAAGGGUGUCUAGGCGGCCAAGUUAGUCGCGUGUAAAAUCCGUGGGCUCAACCUACGGUCCGCACGCGAAACGGCUUGGCUCGAGAGCGCGAGAGGUGCACGGAACUCAUGGUGGAGGGGUGAAAUCCGUUGAUAUCAUGGGGAACACCAAAGGCGAAGGCAGUGCACUGGCGCGUUUCUGACGCUCAAACACGAAAGCUAGGGGAGCGAACGGGAUUAGAUACCCGCGUAGUCC